UACGUAGGGUGCAAGCGUUGUCCGGAAUUAUUGGGCGUAAAGAGCUCGUAGGCGGUCUGUCACGUCUGCUGUGAAAACUCGGGGCUUAACCCCGGGCCUGCAGUGGGUACGGGGCAGACUAGAGUGUGGUAGGGGAGACUGGAAUUCCUGGUGUAGCGGUGAAAUGCGCAGAUAUCAGGAGGAACACCGAUGGCGAAGGCAGGUCUCUGGGCCACUACUGACGCUGAGAAGCGAAAGCAUGGGGAGCGAACAGG
rnacentral:rRNA from 1 species